rnacentral:lncRNA from 1 species
UUUUGAUCUCUGAAAGCAAAUUAGAGGAUAUUUAAACAACACAUCUUUCUAUGAAGGAGAGGUAAUUACAAAAUCAGGUCAAAAUGCAGAACAAUCUAACCCUGCCCCAUGCUAAUGUUACUUGAAUAAGCGGAAAUCUCCCAUAUUCUGUCUCCAAAGAAAGAUUCAUUUGGGAUGCAGCUGUUCUCAUUAUUGUUGAUCAUCUGGACUCACAAGCCCUCGUGAGCGUGUGGUGGUACUCGCCAAAGCCGCAGGCAGCCUCGCGUCGUGCCUCGCCGGUCUGGGGGAGCUGCUGCCUGCUGCUCCCCCCGGCCCCCCCGGAGCCGGCACGCGGCUCACGUCGCCCACCUCCGCUGUCACCGCUUCCCGCGUUUCGGGAUGAAACUUAAACUGCCAGCAGUUCGCAGAGAAGGGCAAGGGAGCAGGACGUGGCCACUCACCUGCCUCUGACGGACAGAGCUGGAUCCCAGCAGCCGAUGCCCAAGAUAAAGGAAUUAUCUGAAGUCACGGCCCGACGACGUGAGCAGCUAAGUUGUGUAGCUGCUUCUUCCCAGAGGUGCCCACUUCGAUGUACUGCGGAAACAGAAACUGCAGACUUCAGUAGACUGUGAGGAAACUCAGAUGCAGAYAUUGAAACCAGAGAUUUUGGGAAACACCCAGUCACCCACAGUUAGAGCUUUGGGUAGAGAGCUCCCACUUUGCUUAGCUCUCUCUUAAACAUUGGACCAUCUGUGUCACAGUGGGCUCUGCUGCAAUUUUGGGGGACUUCUGCAAAUCUUCUCCCGGCUGCGGGUGCCAGGAGUGUCGGAAGCUGUCUCCUAAGGCUCCCCAGUGACRUCCGGGGAUGCCGGUGGUGCGGAGCGCGACUGUUCAGAUGUAGCUGAGCUACUGAUGGGAAAAUGCACUGUCUGCUU